rnacentral:rRNA from 1 species
AUUGAACGCUGGCGGCAGGCCUAACACAUGCAAGUCGAGCGGAGCGGCGGACGGGUGAGUAAUGCCUAGGAAUCUGCCUGGUAGUGGUGGAUAACGUCCGGAAACGGGCGCUAAUACCGCAUACUAUCAGAUGAGCCUAGGUCGGAUUAGCUAGUUGGUGGGGUAAAGGCCUACCAAGGCGACGAUCCGUAGCUGGUCUGAGAGGAUGAUCGGUCACACGGGAAGUGGGAACCGGUCCAGAAUCCUACGGGAGGCAGCAGGGGGGAAUAUUGGACAAGGGGCGAAGGCCGGAUCCAGCCAGGCCGCGUGUGUGAAGAAGGUCUUCGGAUUGUAAAGCACUUUAAGUUGGGAGGCGUUACCAACAGAAUAAGCACCGGCUAACUUCGUGCCAGCAGCCGCGGUAAUUC